rnacentral:rRNA from 1 species
GACGAACGCUGGCGGCGUGCCUAAUACAUGCAAGUAGAACGCACAGUUUAUACCGUAGCUUGCUACACCAUAGACUGUGAGUUGCGAACGGGUGAGUAACGCGUAGGUAACCUGCCUGGUAGCGGGGGAUAACUAUUGGAAACGAUAGCUAAUACCGCAUAAUAUUAAUUAUUGCAUGAUAAUUAAUUGAAAGGUGCAAUUGCACCACUACCAGAUGGACCUGCGUUGUAUUAGCUAGUAGGUGAGGUAACGGCACACCUAGGCGACGAUACAUAGCCGACCUGGGAGGGGGGUCGGCCACACGAGGACUGAGACACAGCCCAGACUACUACGGGAGGCAGCAGAAGGGAAUCUUCGGCAAUGGACGAAAGUCUGACCGAGCAACGCCGCGUGAGUGAAGAAGGUUUUCGGAUCGUAAAGCUCGGUUGUAAGAGAAGAACGGGUGUGAGAGUGGAAAGUUCACACUGUGACGGUAUCUUACCAGAAAGGGACGGCUAACUACGUG